rnacentral:rRNA from 1 species
ACUCCUACGGGAGGCAGCAGUGAGGAAUAUUGGGCAAUGGGCGCAAGCCUGACCCAGCAACGCCGCGUGGAGGAAGACGGCCUUUGGGUUGUAAACUCCUUUUGUCGGGGAAGAGGAAGGACGGUACCCGGCGAAUAAGUCACGGCUAACUACGUGCCAGCAGCCGCGGUAAUA